UACGGAGGGGGCUAGCGUUGUUCGGAAUUACUGGGCGUAAAGCGCACGUAGGCGGAUUGUUAAGUCGGGGGUGAAAUCCCGGGGCUCAACCCCGGAAUGGCCUCCGAUACUGGCAAUCUUGAGGUCGGGAGAGGUGAGUGGAAUGGCGAGUGUAGAGGUGAAAUUCGUAGAUAUUCGCCGGAACACCAGUGGCGAAAGCGGUAGACUGGAUCUCUUCUGACGCUGAGGAGCGAAAGCUAGGGGAGCAAACGGG
rnacentral:rRNA from 1 species